GGGGGUGAAAAGGUUUCGACUGGGAAUGUGAGUGUGAAAGCUGCAUAUCGGGCUGUCUAACCCGUAAAACUGGGCACCCAGAUUUAACUGGAAACAACGAAUAUCAAUUAGCAGCCUAAUUUAGGCUGCCGUGAACAGUCUUUUUUCUCUGGAGAGGCUGCUUUGCGAAAAAACACAGAGAUAGACUGUUUUUUUCGGAUAGGGGAAACAGCGACAACAUAUCCUCGGAACUGGAAAUCUUUCCUGACGGGAGUUUCAGAACUUAAAACAAAUCAUCAGGAUAAGUAUGUAGAGGCUCUCGCAUAAGCUUCUUAGGACGCGGGUUCGAUUCCCGCCACCUCCAUUU
rnacentral:tmRNA from 1 species